rnacentral:rRNA from 1 species
UACGUAGGGUGCGAGCGUUAAUCGGAAUUACUGGGCGUAAAGCGUGCGCAGGCGGUUUUGUAAGCCAGAUGUGAAAUCCCCGGGCUUAACCUGGGAAUGGCAUUUGGGACUGCAAGGCUGGAGUGCGGCAGAGGAGACUGGAAUUCCCGGUGUAGCAGUGAAAUGCGUAGAUAUCGGGAGGAAUACCGAUGGCGAAGGCAGGUCUCUGGGCUGACACUGACGCUCAUGCACGAAAGCGUGGGGAGCAAGCAGG